rnacentral:rRNA from 1 species
GACGUAGGGCGCGAGCGUUGUCCGGAUUUAUUGGGCGUAAAGAGCUCGUAGGCGGACAGUUUAGUCAGAGGUGAAAGCCCAGGGCUCAACCUUGGAAUUGCCUUUGAUACUGGCUGUCUUGAGUUCGGGAGAGGUGAGUGGAAUGCCGAGUGUAGAGGUGAAAUUCGUAGAUAUUCGCAAGAACACCAGUGGCGAAGGCGGCUCACUGGCCCGGUACUGACGCUGAGGUGCGAAAGCGUGGGGAGCAAACAGG